rnacentral:rRNA from 1 species
ACGAACGCUGGCGGCGUGCUUAACACAUGCAAGUCGUACGGUAAGGCCCUUUCGGGGGUACACGAGUGGCGAACGGGUGAGUAACACGUGAGUAACCUGCCCACAACUUUGGGAUAACGCUAGGAAACUGGUGCUAAUACUGGAUAUGUGCUCCUGCUGCAUGGUGGGGGUUGGAAAGCUCCGGCGGUUGUGGAUGGACUCGCGGCCUAUCAGCUUGUUGGUGGGGUAGUGGCCUACCAAGGCGGCGACGGGUAGCCGGCCUGAGAGGGUGACCGGCCACAUUGGGACUGGGAUACGGCCCAGACUCCUACGGGAGGCAGCAGGGGGGAAUAUUGCACAAUGGGCGCAAGCCUGAUGCAGCAACGCCGCGUGCGGGAUGACGGCCUUCGGGUUGUAAACCGCUUUCAGCAGGGACGAAGCUUUUUGUGACGGUACCUGCAGAAGAAGCACCGGCUAACUACGUG